AGGAUACAGCAGAACGCUCAACGCUUUUCUGUUUCUGAAUAAAAAAAUCUAAAGGAUGGAAUGUGGUUGAUGGGAAAGGCAGAAAGGAGCCUCUGCGCCUCCCAGCCUUCUAGUUUCUGAUAGAAAUCUGUUGCCGAUCUACACUGUUUGGCUUCUGAAGUUAAAGGGUCGCUGGGUCGGCCCCUGCCAUUUUUACCGAGCUUUCACUGCCAAAAGUCAGCCUCUACUUCUAUCUCCCUAUGAUAUUUUCGCUUUUUUGAUCCAGUUUGAAUCAGUCCCCCAAGAAUAAAGAGGACUGGUAAGAGUCACAUCUAGUUCAGUACUCCCUAAUAAAUGCAUAACUCUCAACAUUUUGCCUUUGAGUAGAGUCAAGUACAGUGUUUUAUUUUGUAUCCAUCCUUAGCAUAUUAUAUUGAGAGAUUACACAUCCAUACAUAGUGCAACACAUAAUCCUAAGCUCACACACACAGCAUUUGUUUAAAUACUGUAUAUCCCUGA